GGCCGCCUGGCGAAAUGGCAUCGCGUCUGACUACGAUUAUGUCUAUGUAAUCAGGAGAUUGCAGGUUCGACCCCUGCGGUGGUCA